UACGUAGGAGGCAAGCGUUGUCCGGAGUUACUGGGCGUAAAGCGCGCGCAGGCGGUCACGCAGGUCAUCUGUGAAAGCACCCGGCUCAACCGGGUUGUUGCGGGUGAAACCGCGUGACUUGAGGUCGGGAGGGGUCGGUGGAAUUCCCGGUGUAGUGGUGAAAUGCGUAGAGAUCGGGAGGAACACCCGUAGCGAAGGCGGCCGACUGGACCGAUCCUGACGCUGAGGCGCGAAGGCCAGGGGAGCGAACGGG
rnacentral:rRNA from 1 species